AACGUAGGAGACAAACGUUAUCCGGAGUUACUGGGCGUAAAGGGCGUGUAGGUGGUAAUGUAAGUCUGGCGUGAAAUUUUUCGGCUUAACCGGGAAAGGCCGUCGGAUACUGCAUGACUAGAGGACGGUAGAGGCGUGUGGAAUUCCGGGUGUAGUGGUGAAAUGCGUAGAGAUCCGGAGGAACACCGAAGGCGAAGGCAGUCUCCUGGCAAGUUACUGACGCUCAGGUGCGAAAGCUAGGGGAGCGAACAGG
rnacentral:rRNA from 1 species